GUGGAGUUAUAUGCACGUUAAAGUUGACUGCGAUUCGCCAACAGAAUCCUAUAUAAAAGAAGAAUAAGAUCACGCUCUUUCGUGACGUAGUUAUGUGAAACACCUCGGAAUUUCAUGGCAAACUGAGGGACCAUGGUCCUCCAGGAUGACAGCCUACAUGCUGACCUGUGUACAGAUGACCGUCUUCCCAGCAGGGUGUUUUCAAGGCACAAACAGAAAUUUGGGGGAAGAAACCAGAGACUCCGCCAACUGCAUUGCACACAGACCGGCUGAGUGACCACCACUUGCAAAUAGAAACCGGCAG
ensembl:lncRNA